rnacentral:hammerhead_ribozyme from 1 species
GCACUGCUGACGAGUCUCAAACAGGACGAAAUAGCUGUCCAGUGC